AAUCAACGCUGGCGGCGUGCCUCAGACAUGCAAGUCGAACGCGAAAGUCCCCUUCGGGGGACAAGUAGAGUGGCGCACGGGUGAGUAACACGUAGGUAAUCUACCUUCGGAUGGGGAAUAACAACCGGAAACGGUUGCUAAUACCGCAUAAUGCAGCGGCACCUAAUGGUGACAGUUGUUAAAGCGGGGGAUCGAAAGACCUCGCGUCUGAAGAGGAGCCUGCGGCGGAUUAGCUAGNGGUAAGGUAAUGGCUUACCAAGGCGACGAUCCGUAGCCGGCCUGAGAGGGCGGUCGGCCACACUGACACUGACAUACGGGUCAGACUCCUACGGGAGGCAGCAGUCGGGAAUUUUGGGCAAUGGGCGAAAGCCUGACCCAGCAACGCCGCGUGAAGGAUGAAAUCCCUCGGGAUGUAAACUUCGCAAGAACGGGAAGAAUAAGUAGGGACAAUACCCCCUAUGAUGACGGUACCGUUUGUAAGCUCCGGCUAACUCCGUGCCAGCCGCCGCAGUAAG
rnacentral:rRNA from 1 species